GACGAACGCUGGCGGCGUGCUUAAUACAUGCAAGUCGAGCGAGGUUACUGUUUCGGAUCCCUUCGGGGUGAAGAAGCUUUAACCUAGCGGCGGACGGGUGAGUAACGCGUGGGUAACCUACCCCAAAGUCCGGGAUAACAGCGGGAAACCGCUGCUAAUACCGGAUGCCUUUACCUUGGGGCAUCUUGAGGUAAAGAAAGGCAACGCUUUGGGAUGGGCCCGCGUCCCAUUAGCUAGUUGGUGAGGUAACGGCUCACCAAGGCGACGAUGGGUAGCCGGCCUGAGAGGGUGGACGGCCACACUGGGACUGAGACACGGCCCAGACUCCUACGGGAGGCAGCAGUAGGGAAUAUUGCGCAAUGGACGGAAGUCUGACGCAGCGACGCCGCGUGAGCGAUGAAGGUCUUCGGAUCGUAAAGCUCUGUCCUUGGGGAAGAAGGUCUUCGGACUUGACGGUACCCAAGAAGAAAGCCCCGGCUAACUACGUG
rnacentral:rRNA from 1 species